rnacentral:rRNA from 1 species
CCCUGGGGGACAAGCUCCAGGGUCGAGAGGGAAACAGCCCAGAUCACCGGCUAAGGCCCCCAAGUGUGUGCUGAGUGGAAAAGGAUGUGGGAUCGCCGAGACAACCAGGAGGUUGGCUUAGAAGCAGCCAUCCUUGAAAGAGUGCGUAACAGCUCACUGGUCAAGUGAUCCUGCGCCGAUAAUAUAGCGGGGCUUGCAAGCACACCGCCGAAGCCGUGGCACCGCCCCUUGGUGGGGUGGUGGGUAGGGGAGCAUCCCUCACCGCGGUGAAGCAUCCCCGUAAGGGGGUGUGGAGUGUGGGGGAGUGAGAAUGCAGGCAUGAGUAGUGCUAGGACAGUGAGAAUCUGUCCCGCCGAAUGACCAAGGGUUCCAGGGCCAGGCUGAUCCGCCCUGGGUGAGUCGGAUCCUAAGGCGAGGCCGACAGGCGUAGUCGACAGGACAACGGGUUGAUAUUCCCGUNCCCGCCUUGACACGUCCCAUACCAGCCCCCACGACACCAGCAUCAACCGGUGGGCCCGGUCUCGUUCGCGAGACCACGGCUGGACCGGUGGUGGUGUGUGUGGUGGGUGUGUUGGUCAGCGACGGGGUGACGCAGAAGGGUAGCCCAACCCGGGCGAUGGUGGUUCCCGGGGUAACGGUGUAGCCGGCCGGCCCAGGCAAAUCCGGGCCGGCGUCGACGGUGAGACCGGAGGCCGAGCCAGUGUGGCGAAGUGGGUAAGCCCCGGCUGCCGAGAAAAGCCUCUAGCGAGUGUGAGGGCGGUCCGUACCCGAAACCGACACAGGUGGUCUGGUAGAGCAUACCGAGGCGAGCGGGCGAACCGUGGUUAAGGAAUUCGGCAACAUGUCCCCGUAACUUCGGGAGAAGGGGAGCCGCCGCUGGUGACCCCCCCUGCGGGGUGAGCUGGCAGCGGCCGCAGAGAAUGGGCCCAAGCGACUGUUUACUAAAAACACAGGUCCGUGCGAAGUCGUAAGACGCGGUAUACGGACUGACGCCUGCCCGGUGCCGGAACGUUAAGGGGAGCCGUGAACCCCCCACGAGGGGGUGUGGCGGCGAACCGAAGCGCCGGUAAACGGCGGNGGUAACUAUAACCAUCCUAAGGUAGCGAAAUUCCUUGUCGGGUAAGUUCCGACCUGCACGAAUGGCGUAACGACUUGGGCGCUGUCUCGACCACGGACCCGACGAAAUUGCACGACGAGUUAAGAUGCUCGUUUCGCGCGGCAGGACGGAAAGACCCCGGGACCUUUACUACAGCUUGGUAUGGGCGUCCGCGGCGGCUUGUGUAGGAUAGGUGGGAAACUGGGAAGGUCACACGCCAGUGUGGCCGGAGUUGCUGGUGAAAUACCACUCUGGUCGUUGUGGGCGUCUAACCUCGGUCCGUCACCCGGACCAGGGACAGUGCCUGGUGGGUAGUUUAACUGGGGCGGUUGCCUCCCAAACAGUAACGGAGGCGCCCAACGGUUCCCUCAGCCUGGACGGAAACCAGGUGACGAGUGCAAGUGCACAAGGGAGCUUGACUGUGAGACCGACAGGUCAAGCAGGUGCGAAAGCAGGGACUAGUGAUCCGGCACCGGCACGCGGACGCGGUGUCGCUCAACGGAUAACAGGUACCCCGGGGAUAACAGGCUGAUCUUGCCCAAGAGUCCCUAUCGACGGCAUGGUUUGGCACCUCGAUGUCGGCUCGUCGCAUCCUGGGGCUGAAGUCGGUCCCAAGGGUUGGGCUGUUCGCCCAUUAAAGCGGCACGCGAGCUGGGUUUAGAACGUCGUGAGACAGUUCGGUCCCUAUCCGCCGCGCGCGCACGGAGACGUGCGGGGAGCUGUCCCCAGUACGAGAGGACCGGGACGGACGAACCUCUAGUCUGCCAGUUGUCCCGCCAGGGGCAGGGCUGGUUCGCUACGUUCGGCACGGAUAACCGCUGAAAGCAUCUAAGCGGGAAGCCCACCCCAAGACCACGUCUCCCACCCCCCACCGGGGGGAUAAGGCCCCCAGCAGACGACUGGGUCGAUAGGCCCGACAUGCACCCACAGCAAUGUGCUCAGUGGACGGGUACUAACCGGCCGAACGACGAACACC